rnacentral:rRNA from 1 species
UACGGGGGGGGUAAGCGUUGUUCGGAAUUACUGGGCGUAAAGGGCUCGUAGGCGGCCAACUAAGUCAGACGUGAAAUCCCUCAGCUUAACUGGGGAACUGCGUCUGAUACUGGAUGGCUUGGAUUCGGGAGAGGAAUGCGGAAUUCCAGGUGUAGCGGUGAAAUGCGUAGAUAUCGGGAGGAACACCUGUGGCGAAAGCGGCGCACUGGACCAUAACUGACGCUGAGGCGCGAAAGCUAGGGGAGCAAACAGG